rnacentral:rRNA from 1 species
UACGUAGGGUGCAAGCGUUAUCCGGAAUUAUUGGGCGUAAAGAGCUCGUAGGCGGUUUGUCGCGUCUGCUGUGAAAACCUAAGGCUCAACCUUGGGCUUGCAGUGGGUACGGGCAGACUAGAGUGCGGUAGGGGUGACUGGAAUUCCUGGUGUAGCGGUGGAAUGCGCAGAUAUCAGGAGGAACACCGAGUGGCGAAGGCAGGUCACUGGGCCGCAACUGACGCUGGAGGAGCCGAAAGCAUGGGGAGCGAACAGG